AGUAAAAGUCGUAACAAGGUUUCCGUAGGUGAACCUGCGGAAGGAUCAUUAAUGAAAGUCUGGCCUUCGGGCCUCUCUCUCUACACACUUGUGGACUUACACUGUUGCUUUGGCAGGUCUUGGAGGGGGAAACCCCGAGAUUAGGUUGCGAGACGCCUGCCAAAGACAUUUAUCACCCUUAUUAUAUGUCCGAAUCUUGUUUAUAACAAAUUAUAACAAAACUUUCAACAAUGGAUCUCUUGGCUCUGGCAUCGAUGAAGAACGCAGCGAAAUGCGAUAAGUAAUGUGAAUUGCAGAAUUCAGUGAAUCAUCGAAUCUUUGAACGCACAUUGCGCCCUCUGGUAUUCCGGAGGGCAUGCCUGUUUGAGUGUCAUUAAUCUCUCACAACCACCUGUGGUAUUGUGAUGUUGGGAGCUGCGCUGUGCUUGCACGACGCUCUCCUCAAAUGCAUUGGUGCGGCCUGCCGCCCGGUUACACAACGUUCUAGGUUCGUCCAACUCGUUGCUACUCCGGUGCAAUCAUGGUGCUGCACCUAAAGCCCGUCUCGUGCCUUGUGCUCUUGACAUCUUCAUUUAUUGACCUCAGAUCAGGUAGGAAUACGCGCUGAACUUAAGCAUAUCAAUAAGCGGAGGA
rnacentral:rRNA from 1 species